rnacentral:rRNA from 1 species
CCCGAGCUCAACUUGGGAACUGCGUUGAAACUACAAGACUAGAAUAUGUCAGAGGGGGGUAGAAUUCCACGUGUAGCAGUGAAAUGCGUAGAGAUGUGGAGGAAUACCAAUGGCGAAGGCAGCCCCCUGGGAUAAUAUUGACGCUCAUGCACGAAAGCGUGGGGAGCAAACAGGAUUAGAUACCCUGGUAGUCCACGCCCUAAACGAUGUCUACGAGUUGUUGGUGGAGUAAAAUCCAUGAGUAACGCAGCUAACGCGUGAAGUAGACCGCCUGGGGAGUACGGUCGCAAGAUUAAAACUCAAAUGAAUUGACGGGGGCCCGCACAAGCGGUGGAUUAUGUGGAUUAAUUCGGUGCAACGCGAAAAACCUUACCUGGCCUUGACAUGUAGCGAACUUUCCAGAGAUGGAUUGGUGCCCGAAAGGGAGCGCUAACACAGGUGCUGCAUGGCUGUCGUCAGCUCGUGUCGUGAGAUGUUGGGUUAAGUCCCGCAACGAGCGCAACCCUUGCCAUUAAUUGCCAUCAUUUAGUUGGGCACUUUAAUGGGACUGCCGGUGACAAACCGGAGGAAGGUGGGGAUGACGUCAAGUCCUCAUGGCCCUUAUGGCCAGGGCUUCACACGUAAUACAAUGGUCGGUACAGAGGGUCGCCAACCCGCGAGGGGGAGCAAAUCCCAGAAAGCCGAUCGUAGUCCGGAUUGUAGUCUGCAACUCGACUACAUGAAGUCGGAAUCGCUAGUAAUCGCGGAUCAGCAUGUCGCGGUGAAUACGUUCCCGGGCCUUGUACACACCGCCCGUCACACCAUGGGAGUGGGUUUUACCAGAAGUAGGUAGUCUAACCGUAAGGAGGACGCUUACCACGGUAGUAUUCAUGACUGGGGUGAAGUCGUAACAAGGUA